UUGACCUCGGAUCAGGUAGGGAUACCCGCUGAACUUAAGCAUAUCAAUAAGCGGAGGAAAAGAAACCAACCGGGAUUGCCUCAGUAACGGCGAGUGAAGCGGCAAGAGCUCAAAUUUGAAAGCUGGCUCCUUCGGAGUCCGCAUUGUAAUUUGCAGAGGAUGCUUUGGGUGCGGCCCCCGUCUAAGUGCCCUGGAACGGGCCGUCAGAGAGGGUGAGAAUCCCGUCUUGGGCGGGGUGUCCGUGCCCGUGUAAAGCUCCUUCGACGAGUCGAGUUGUUUGGGAAUGCAGCUCUAAAUGGGUGGUAAAUUUCAUCUAAAGCUAAAUACUGGCCGGAGACCGAUAGCGCACAAGUAGAGUGAUCGAAAGAUGAAAAGCACUUUGAAAAGAGAGUUAAACAGCACGUGAAAUUGUUGAAAGGGAAGCGCUUGCGACCAGACUCGCCCGCGGGGUUCAGCCGGCAUUCGUGCCGGUGUACUUCCCCGUGGGCGGGCCAGCGUCGGUUUGGGCGGCCGGUCAAAGGCCCCUGGAAUGUAGUGCCCUCCGGGGCACCUUAUAGCCAGGGGUGCAAUGCGGCCAGCCUGGACCGAGGAACGCGCUUCGGCACGGACG
rnacentral:rRNA from 1 species